rnacentral:rRNA from 1 species
CCUACGGGAGGCUGCAGUGGGGAAUAUUGCACAAUGGGGGAAACCCUGAUGCAGCGACGCCGCGUGAGUGAAGAAGUAUUUCGGUAUGUAAAGCUCUAUCAGCAGGGAAGAAAUAAAGUCCUUCGGACUUUGGACGGUACCUGACUAAGAAGCCCCGGCUAACUACGUGCCAGCAGCCGCGGUAAUACGUAGGGGGCAAGCGUUAUCCGGAUUUACUGGGUGUAAAGGGAGCGUAGACGGCAGCUCAAGUCUGGAGUGAAAUCCCAUGGCUUAACCAUGGAACUGCUUUGGAAACUGUGCAGCUGGAGUGCGGGAGAGGUAAGCGGAAUUCCUAGUGUAGCGGUGAAAUGCGUAGAUAGUAGGAGGAACACGAGUGGCGAAGGCGGCUUACUGGACUGUAACUGACGUUGAGGCUCGAAAGCGUGGGGAGCAAACAGGAUUAGAUACCCUAGUAGUC